GCCUUCGUGGUGUAGUGGUCAGCACGCUCGACUUGUAUUCGAGAGGUCCAUAGUUCGAUUCCUCGCGGGGGUA